rnacentral:rRNA from 1 species
AGAGUUUGAUCCUGGCUCAGGAUGAACGCUGGCGGCGUGCCUAAUACAUGCAAGUCGAGCGGUAAGGCCCCUUCGGGGGUACACGAGCGGCGGACGGCUGAGUAACACGUAGGAACGUACCCCAAAGUGAGGGAUAAGCACCAGAAAUGGUGUCUAAUACCACAUGUGCUCUAAGGAGUAAAGCUUCGGUGCUUUGGGAACGGCCUGCGCAUGAUUAGCUUGUUGGUGAGGUAAUGGCUCACCAAGGCGACGAUCAUUAGCUGGUCUGAGAGGAUGAUCAGCCAGACUGGGACUGAGAACGGCCCAGACUCCUACGGGAGGCAGCAGUAGGGAAUUUUCCACAAUGGGCGAAAGCCUGAUGGAGCAACGCCGCGUGCAGGAUGAAUGCCUUAGGGUUGUAAACUGCUUUUAUAUGUGAAGAUUAUGACGGUAGCAUAUGAAUAAGGAUCGGCUAACUCCGUGCCAGCAGCCGCGGUCAUACGGAGGAUCCAAGCGUUAUCCGGAAUUACUGGGCGUAAAGAGUUGCGUAGGUGGCAUAGUAAGCAGAUAGUGAAAUCGUGUGGCUCAACCAUACAAACAUUAUCUGAACUGCUAAGCUUGAAGAUGAGAGAGGUAGAUGGAAUUCCUAGUGUAGGAGUGAAAUCCGUAGAUAUUAGGAGGAACACCGAUGGCGUAGGCAGAUAACUGGCUCAUUCCUGACACUAAGGCACGAAAGCGUGGGUAGCAAACGGGAUUAGAUACCCCGGUAGUCCACGCCGUAAACGAUGGAUGCUAGCUGUUCUCGGUAUCGACCCCGGUAGUAGCGAAGCUAACGCGUUAAGCAUCCCGCCUGUGGAGUACGGUCGCAAGACUAAAACAUAAAGGAAUUGACGGGGACCCGCACAAGCGGUGGAGCGUGUUGUUUAAUUCGAUGGUAAACGAAGAACCUUACCCAGGCUUGACAUCCUACCAAGGUUUCCGAAAGGAAACUGUGCCUUCGGGCCGUAGUGACAGGUGCUGCAUGGCCGUCGUCAGCUCGUGUCGUGAGAUGUUUGGUUAAGUCCAUUAACGAGCGCAACCCUUGUGAUUAGUUGAAUUUUUCUAAUCAGACCGCCCUGGCAACAGGGAGGAAGGAGGGGAUGAUGUCAGGUCAGUAUUGCCCUUACGUCUGGGGCUACAAACACGCUACAAUGGCCGGUACAAAGGGC